rnacentral:miRNA from 2 species
UAAUACUGUUCGGUUAGGACGCC